rnacentral:rRNA from 1 species
UUCUUUCCUCCCGAGUGCUUGCNCUCAAUUGGAAAGAGGAGUGGCGGACGGGUGAGUAACACGUGGGUAACCUACCCAUCAGAGGGGGAUAACACUUGGAAACAGGUGCUAAUACCGCAUAACAGUUUAUGCCGCAUGGCAUAAGAGUGAAAGGCGCUUUCGGGUGUCGCUGAUGGAUGGACCCGCGGUGCAUUAGCUAGUUGGUGAGGUAACGGCUCACCAAGGCCACGAUGCAUAGCCGACCUGAGAGGGUGAUCGGCCACACUGGGACUGAGACACGGCCCAGACUCCUACGGGAGGCAGCAGUAGGGAAUCUUCGGCAAUGGACGAAAGUCUGACCGAGCAACGCCGCGUGAGUGAAGAAGGUUUUCGGAUCGUAAAACUCUGUUGUUAGAGAAGAACAAGGACGUUAGUAACUGAACGUCCCCUGACGGUAUCUAACCNNAAAGCCACGGCUAACUACGUGCCAGCAGCCGCGGUAAUACGUANGUGGCAAGCGUUGUCCGGAUUUAUUGNGCGUAAAGCGAGCGCAGGCGGUUUCUUAAGUCUGAUGUGAAAGCCCCCGGCUCAACCGGGGAGGGNCAUUGGAAACUGGGAGACUUGAGUGCAGAANAGGAGAGUGGAAUUCCAUGUGUAGCGGUGANAUGCGUANAUAUAUGGAGGAACACCNNUGGCGAANNCGGCUCUCUGGUCUGUAACUGACNCUGANGCUCGAAAGCGUGGGGAGCAAACAGGANUAGAUACCCUGGUAGUCCACGCCGUAAACGAUGAGUGCUAANUGUNNNAGGNNUUCNGCCCNUCNNUGNUGCANCAAACGC